rnacentral:rRNA from 1 species
GACGAACGCUAGCGACAGGCUUAACACAUGCAAGUCGAGGGGCAGCACGGGAGUAGCAAUACAGCUGGUGGCGACCGGCGCACGGGUGAGUAACGCGUAUGCAACCUACCUAUCAGAGGGGAAUAACCCGGCGAAAGUCGGACUAAUACCGCAUAAAACAGGGGCACCGCAUGGUGAUAUUUGUUAAAGAAAUUCGCUGAUAGAUGGGCAUGCGUUCCAUUAGGUAGUUGGUGAGGUAACGGCUCACCAAGCCGACGAUGGAUAGGGGAACUGAGAGGUUGGUCCCCCACACUGGUACUGAGACACGGACCAGACUCCUACGGGAGGCAGCAGUGAGGAAUAUUGGUCAAUGGGCGAGAGCCUGAACCAGCCAAGUCGCGUGAAGGAAGAAGGAUCUAUGGUUCGUAAACUUCUUUUGCAGGGGAAUAAAGUGCAGGACGUGUCCUGUUUUGUAUGUACCCUGAGAAUAAGGAUCGGCUAACUCCGUGCCAGCCGCCGCUGUAACAC